rnacentral:rRNA from 1 species
AUACGGAGGGGGCUAGCGUUGUUCGGAAUUACUGGGCGUAAAGCGCGUGUAGGCGGAUCGUUAAGUCAGGGGUGAAAGCCCGGAGCUCAACUCCGGAAUUGCCCUUGAUACUGGCGAUCUAGAGGCCGGGAGAGGUGAGCGGAAUUCCCAGUGUAGAGGUGAAAUUCGUAGAUAUUGGGAGGAACACCAGUGGCGAAGGCGGCUCACUGGCCCGGUUCUGACGCUGAGACGCGAAAGCGUGGGGAGCAAACAGGAUUAGAUACCCUAGUAGUCC